AAUAGAACAGUUAUUCCAUAUGGCCAUGGAAUAUGGUUAUUUUUCAGUUAUAUGUGGAAUUUGUAUGGCACUAAUUUGUAGAAUAGUUGUUCUAUUACACAUCUAAAAUCUGAACUAAGAUUAAUAUAGCUAUUCAAUAUGAAAUAGCUAUUCCAUUCUCUUCCUAUUCAUGAGCCAAAUGAAGCAAUAGAUUUUUAAUCCACUAAAGAUAAUAAAUCAAGAUAUUCCAUUAACA
rnacentral:misc_RNA from 1 species